GUUAAACAGGUUUAAUGACGGUCAUGGCAACUGUUUGGCACAAUGAAAAAUAUCGCCCAUGAUCAACGUGUUCUGUUCUGGGGAAGGGGGCAAAGGCAGGGUGAAUCACUUUCUUAAAAAGUAUAGCUCAAGUUGGGAGUGCAGAGGGAAUGGGGAGAAAACCCUCCCGCUGCCUGUGUCGAAGUGCAGGAGCCCCCACCCCCAUACUCACCUGAGUCCAGCCCCUCUGGGGAAAGAAGGGGUGCAUGAACUCCCCCUAGUCCACAGGCACCUCCCUGUGGCCCAAGGCCCUCUUCACACUCCAUCUUGUAGCCCCAACAGGAGCUAUUUUCCGAAAAGUGAAAAGCUCUGAAGGUCCCACAAUUCAUGGUAUGUACACCUCCCUCACCAGGGGCUGCAAAGUGGCCUGGAGCUCCAUACUGAGUAGAAGUCUUUGGGCCAGAGUCAGCAUCUGGCUGACGGUCCGGAUAUCCUGGUUGGAGUGACCCUGGUGCGCCCUGCCAGGGCCUGGUGCCGCUUGCUGAAGAUCAUGACCGCCACUCAUGGGCCACCGAUGUGGUCCUUGUCCCAUUUGUUGGGGCUGCGUCCAUCCUUCUCAGAAGAUGAGUCCUGUUCCUUGCGCAGGGCACUGAGGGACUGGGCCUGACAUCAUCUGAGUGGUAGAGGCAACUGGGUGUCAGGAGACAUGAUGGAGAGGAAAGCAUCAUCAUGGUCAUUCUCUGUCUCACUGUCCAGCAGGGACUCCCCUGAGGGGCCCAGGGCUCCUCCUCCAUGGUGGGAGGUGGGACCAUCCAGUUUCAGGAAAACAAGCUUAACACGCCCACUGAUUCUACAUUAUGCUCCUACCUCCCGGCAGCCUCACCAGGCCCAGAACUCUCUCCAGUCAGCCUCUACAGACCAAGCUCAUGACUCACAAUGGCCUAUUGAGGCCCAUACCCUACCUCACGGCAGUCUCCGCAGAUGAGCCUACUGCCUCACAACAGCCUCCACAGGCACAGCUCCAUCGUUACAAUGGCCUCUUUAGACCCAGCUCCUGCCUCCCAGCCUUCUCUCCAGGCCCUGAACUUUCUCCGUAAGUUGAGGUAGCUGGGACUGUAGGUAUACAUGACGAUACUUGGCUAAUUUUUAAAUUGUUUUGCAGACAUGGGGUCUCACUUUGUUGGCCAGGCUGGUGUCAAACUAAUGGCCUCAAGUGACCCUUCCACCCCUGCCUCCCAUCCUCGAGGUAUGUGCCACCACAAGGGGCACUUGUUCAAUUUUCUAAAGAAAAAAUUUCUAAAGUAAGGCUGUGGGAUGAUGGCAGGAAGAUAAAAGAAAAACAGAAGAAUAAGUUAAAAUGACUUAUUCACACAUAUUCUUUUGACAGCAAGAAGAACUCUUAGUAUAUACAUUCCUUACAAACAAAGAAACGGCAGAUAAACAAUGUUGUAUAGGAACUUCAACACACACUGUACAAUAUUCCCACUUUGCUGACAUAAGUUAUGGAAAUUUCGUGGUUUCCUUGAGUGUCGCUACCAGUAUUUUGCUUCUCUGAUGAUUUUUAUCAACUUCCUCAUCUGUUAACUUCUCUCCAAAGUAUGUCACGUCACGACAUACUGCCGCUGCACGAACACGGCCAGUGUCUUCCUAUUAAACAUGUAGAAUGCUUUCCUAAUUUCUCUUUUUACUCUCUGUCUUUGUGUUCUGCAUUUUCCUUACUUUUAUUGUCAGAAACUCCAGAAAGUCAAUCGUACUAAUUUAUCACGAUUUGCUUUAUUAAUUUAUACUAUGCUUAUAUGGAAUUUUGCCCAACAGACCUCAUUACAAUUUGGGCCAGGGCCCAGGGUUAGGGUUGUUUUAGGGUCAGGGCCAGGGCCCAGGGUUAGUGUUGUUUUAGGGUCAGGGCCAGG